AGCGAACGCUGGCGGCAGGCCUAACACAUGCAAGUCGAACGAACUCUUCGGAGUUAGUGGCGGACGGGUGAGUAACACGUGGGAACGUGCCUUUUGGUUCGGAAUAACUCAGGGAAACUUGUGCUAAUACCGAAUGUGCCCUUCGGGGGGAAAGAUUUAUCGCCAUUAGAGCGGCCCGCGUCUGAUUAGCUAGUUGGUGA
rnacentral:rRNA from 1 species